rnacentral:lncRNA from 1 species
AAGCAGACUUGGGGGGUAUGCCUGCAGCUGCAAGAAGAUGUACGGGAACAGACACAAAAACUCUCUCUCCAGAUGUUCAAGUCCAACAAGUAAGCCAGUGUGGCAGGCAAACAAGCAAGAGGAGAGGAAUGAGAGAUGGUUUCAGAGGAUAUUGAGGAAGGAGUUGGCCUGGAAGCUGCUGAAACCUGAAGACACAAGGAGUCCUUCUGUCCAGAUGUUGCAUUUGCACUUUAUUAAUUUGGUUGCAAAGGCGCCCCAUGAAUUGCAAUGAACUUCCUCUUUGUUUCCUGCUGUGGCCUUGAGUUCUGAUGUUCAUAUGAUGAGUUAUCUUUUGGAAUACAUAGCCCAGGUUCUCUUUGUCUGAAACUUCUCACCCUAAAGAAACACACACACACACAUACACACGGAACACAUAUACACAUCUGACGUUCAUAUUUUGUGUUGUCAUUUGGAAUAUGUAACUCAGGAUCUCUUUGUCUGAAACUUCUUCUCACUCUGAAGCAUCAUACACACACACACACACAUAAACACACACACACACAUAGACACAUACACACAUAUAUACGGAACACACAUACACAUCUGCUGUGGCUUCCUGGGUGCAUGUUACUCCCAUGCCCUUCUCAACACCAAUUACAGCAUUAGAAAGGAAAUGGAUACCAGGUAAGAUUUGAAUAAUGAAAAUCUAAAACAAACUUAUGAAAGAAAAGAUAUGAAAUAAAUUACUGACGUGAGUCAGAAAUUCAAAAUUAAAGUGGCA